rnacentral:rRNA from 1 species
GACGAACGCUGGCGGCGUGCCUAACACAUGCAAGUGGAGCGACGAACCGGACUUCGGUCCGGGGCAAAGCCGCGAACGGGUGAGUAACACGUGGGUAACCUGCCCCGAUGAUUGGGACAACCCGAGGAAACUCGGGCUAAUACCGAACUGUGCCCUACGGUCGCAAGACCGCUGGGGAAAGGGAAGCUUCGGCCUCCGCAUCGGGAUGGGCCCGCGGCCCAUUAGCUUGUUGGUGAGGUAAGGGCUCACCAAGGCCACGAUGGGUAGCUGGUCUGAGAGGACGAUCAGCCACACUGGGA